GACGAACGCUGGCGGCGUGCUUAACACAUGCAAGUCGAACGGUAAGGCCCUUCGGGGUACACGAGUGGCGAACGGGUGAGUAACACGUGGGUGAUCUGCCCUGCACUUCGGGAUAAGCCUGGGAAACUGGGUCUAAUACCGGAUAGGACUCCUGGCUUCAUGGUUGGGGGUGGAAAGCUUUUGCGGUGUGGGAUGGGCCCGCGGCCUAUCAGCUUGUUGGUGGGGUAAUGGCCUACCAAGGCGGCGACGGGUAGCCGGCCUGAGAGGGUGACCGGUCACACUGGGACUGAGAUACGGCCGAGACUCCGACGGGAGGCAGCAGUGGGGAAUAUUGCACAAUGGGCGCAAGCCUGAUGCAGCGACGCCGCGUGAGGGAUGACGGUCUUCGGGUUGUAAACCUCUUUCAGCUAUGACGAAGCGCAAGUGACGGUAGUAGCAGAAGAAGGACCGGCCAACUACGUGCCAGCCGCCGCGGUAA
rnacentral:rRNA from 1 species